AGAGAGAGAGAGAGAUUGCUUGCCCCAAGUCGGGCAAUGAUGAACAAGGUCAGCUUUAUUUUUUACUGGGCAGGAUUUUGGCUUACACAUCUCCAAAAUAAGCUUGCCCCCGUCUUGCAUUCUUCCUGCCCCAUGGCUUAAGUACAGUGAAAGUGGUAGAGAGAGAGAGAUUGCUUGCCCCAAGUGGGGCAAUGGAAUAUGAUGAACAGGAAAAUGGUUAAUGGGGGUGUUGUCAACAACUGGAUGUGUUUCAACUUUUCACGCAAUGUG